rnacentral:rRNA from 1 species
AAAACAUUUUUUAUUAUUAAUAAUAAUAAAUAAGUUCUGCUCAAUGAUUAUUUAAAUAGCUGCAGUAAUUUAACUGUACUAAGGUAGCAUAAUCAAUUGUUUUUUAAAUGGAAACUAGAAUGAAUGAAUUGAUGAAAUAUAUACUUUAUUUGAAUUAUUUAUUGAAUUUAAUAUUAUAGUUAAAAAGCUUUAAUUAUUUUAUAAGACGAGAAGACCCUAUAGAAUUUUAUAUAAUAAUUUUAUAAAAUUUUAAUAUAAAUAAUAAAAUUAUAUAUUUAUUUGGGAGGAAUAUUAAAAUUAAUAACUUUAAUUAAUUGAUUACAUAAAUUUAUGAUAUAAAUAGAUUUUAUUAAAAUAUAAGAUUAAAUUACCUUAGGGAUAACAGCGUAAUAUUUUUU